rnacentral:sRNA from 1 species
GCCAGGCGCGGUGGCACACACCUGUAAUCCCAGCAGCUCGGGAGGCAGAGACAGGAGAAUCAUGAGUUCAAAGCCAGCUUCAACAAAGGCGAGGUGCUAAGCAACUCAGUGAGACCCUGUCUCUA